rnacentral:sRNA from 14 species
UGCUUUGAUAUUUGUAAGUCGCUUUGGACAAAAGCGUCAGCAAAAUGAAUGUAA